rnacentral:ncRNA from 1 species
CAACAAAGGUUUAGUCCUAACCUUAUUAUUAACUACCACUCAAUUUAUACAUGCAAGCAUCCCCGCCCCAGUGAGAACCCCCAAAACCCGUCAAGGAAGAUGGAGCCGGCAUCAGGCACAUACCACUACUAUAGCCCACAACGCCUAGCCCUGUGGCCACACCCCCACGGGAGACAGCAGUAAUUGACAUUAAACCAUGAGCGAAAGCUUGAUUUAGUUAAAGUGAAGAGGGGCGGCCAAUCUCCGUGCCAGCAGCCGCGGUUACACAGCUACAGCCCCGGGUUAAUAAAAGCGGCGUAAAUUGUGGCUAAGAUUAAAUCCAUUAAGUUAAGGCGAAAUAGUCGCAAAGCUGUGAAAAGCCGAAAAUUCACCAAGAACAUCAAUAUCAACAUAGCCUUAACCCAUAAGACACACCCGAACCCACGAAAGCUAGGAUACAAACUAGGAUUAGAUACCCUACUAUGCCUAGCCCUAAACAAAGGUGUACUAACCACACACUACACUCGCCAGAGAAUUACGAGCAAUACGCUUAAAACUCAAAGGACUUGACGGUAUUUCGAAUCCACCUAGAGGAGCCUGUCCUGUAAUCGACAACACACGAUUAACCCAACCACCUUUUGCCUUAAACAGCCUGUAUACCGCCGUCGCAAGCUUACCCUUUGAGGGCCAUAAUAUCUAGCACAACAGCUUAAUCUUUUGAGCUAAUACGUCAGGUCAAGGUGCAGCCAAUAGGGUGGCAGAGAUGAGCUACAUUUUCUAUAAUAUAGAAAUAAGUCACGGAGGGACCUGUGAAAUUCAGUCCUGUUAAAGUAGGAUUUAGUAGUAAAUUAGGAGAAGAGUGCCUAAUUGAAAAGGGCCCCGAAAUAUGUACACACCGCCCGUCACCCUCCUCGAAUUAAACCACUUUUUUGCUCUAUAACACGCAUAAAAUCUAAUAAGAUGAGGAAAGUCGUAACAAGGUAAGCGUACCGGAAGGUGUGCUUGGACCAU